GCGGACGGGUGAGUAACACGUGGAUAACCUACCUAUAAGACUGGGAUAACUUCGGGAAACCGGAGCUAAUACCGGAUAAUAUUUUGAACCGCAUGGUUCAAAAGUGAAAGACGGUCUUGCUGUCACUUAUAGACGGAUCCGCGCUGCAUUAGCUAGUUGGUAAGGUAACGGCUUACCAAGGCAACGAUGCAUAGCCGACCUGAGAGGGUGAUCGGCCACACUGGAACUGAGACACGGUCCAG
rnacentral:rRNA from 1 species